rnacentral:snRNA from 1 species
GGACUUGAGGGCGAUCUUGCUGCGACACAUAUCACCCCACUGAUCGUCAGUAUUGAUUUGGCUGCUCUGGUUGGCUAGACGAGUGUCCCCUUCCUCCCUCACUGCCCCAUGUGCGUCCCUCCCAAAGUUGCACGCUCUGUUGAAGAGGACCACUGUCCGCGAUAGAGAAGGACUGUUUCCUUGGUCAAGGGUGCACAAGUGGCUGCACUCCACUGCUAGAACUUCCACACAAGCUCUCAAAGUAAGGAAUAACACUCUUAACAGAGCAAGAAAGACUACAAACUGACU